rnacentral:lncRNA from 1 species
CGGCAUUACUCUUGCUUCCUCCUUUCCUGUCCCUGUGGAAAGUGAAAGUAAGGCAAGCCUCCUUCUCCCCUCUCCGCUGGAUCUGCCUAUGACCAAAUCAGCACGCACCCCGAAUGGCUAUACGAACAUCAGGUUUGUGCCGAUGAACAGCAGAAAGUUUCACCAGGAUCCUCACAUCCUAUAUUUAACAAGCUUAAAGGCCAGCUGUUAUUCACGGAGUAUUUGAUGGAGAGAAAAGAGAAACGAAAAAAGGAAGUUAUCUUCUGCCCUGAAGUUUCUCAGUCAGCCUUUCCAAGUUUUCAAGUCUAAUUGUGAAGAUAUGAGUUACUGUAGAACAUCUCAGAGUUGAAUCCACCUUGAUCAACUGGAUAAAUAGCCAAGAGAUAUGCAAGUGCAGAGGGAUAUUCUAGAGAUGCAUGUUUGAGGGCACAGUUCCAAAACUCUCUGGAAGAAGUUGAAGUUAGGGUUCCUACCCAGAGUUUUCCAAUCUGUGGUCCUGCAGUCAAUUUAGAGUUGUAAUCAGAAUUAUUUUAAUCAAACACAUACUGGGGUGGAUAAGAUUAAAUUAUGUUCCACGAAACUUUGUUUCAGUUGAGUGUGUUUGUGUGUGUUUGUGUGUGUGUGUGUGUGUGUGUGUAUUCUAUAUACUGGCUCAUAUAUAAAAUCUGUUUAAAAAAAUCUAUUCCAAC